rnacentral:lncRNA from 1 species
GAAAAUAGAAAGACAGAGGUAUUGAGAAAACAGAGGAAAAAGAGCAGGUGAGAGGCAACGCAAGUUGAAGCUGUAUUUGUCCGCCAUGGGUUCUGGAGCGUGAGUACUUCAGAAUCUCAGAUUGGAGGUUUCAAAAUAAAGUCUUGCUAAAACUUGAAAUGGUUGAAGUCACGAUAUUGCUACUGUAUUGGCAUCAGCAAGUGAAAAAUUGAAGAUGAAACAGCCAC